rnacentral:rRNA from 1 species
UACGGAGGGUGCAAGCGUUAAUCGAAAUUACUGGGCGUAAAGCGCACGUAGGUGGUUUGUUAAGCCAGCUGUGAAAUCCCCGGGCUCAACCUGGGCACUGCAGUUGGAACUGGCAAGCUAGAGUAGGGUAGAGGGGUGUGGAAUUCCAGGUGUAGCGGUGAAAUGCGUAGAUAUCUGGAGGAACAUCAGUGGCGAAGGCGACACCCUGGACUCAUACUGACACUGAGGUGCGAAAGCGUGGGGAGCAAACAGG